CUCUCUGGUCCCGCCUCCAGCCUUCAUCAGAAGUCCAGCCACUCGCUCAUGUAGACGCAGCUGGAUGGGGAGAUCUCUCCUCCUUCGUGGCAGUCGUGGAACACCUGCAAAGAGGAGGCGAGGCGUAAGCUCAGGCCCCGCCCCCUGAAGCUGAGGCCACACACCUGCAGUGUUCAGGAAGGAGUAAUCUGCUGCCCCCUGCUGGCCUGAAUCAUCCCAGCUCUUCCUUUAAACGUGUACUGGUGUGUCGCCAAAAAUGUCUAAAAGGAAGGCAAGACAAAAGCCUGCUGAUGAAGCAACCUUUUACAUUCAAUCUUCAAAGGACAAACCAGGAUUAAUGGAAAGGUUUAUUGAUGAUCACAAAGGAAGGGGUGUGUUUGCUACCCAGCCCAUUGAACAAGGAGAUUUCGUCUUAGAAUACAGGGGUCAACUUCUAUCAGCAGAUAAAUGCCAAACAAGAAAGUACUCUGAAAAGGAGAGUACAUUUCUCUUUGAGUUUGAAUGGCAGAAUCGUCACUGGUGCAUUGAUGCUUCAAUAGAGGAUGGCUCUCUGGGAAGAUUAGUGAACGACAACCACAAGUCUCCAAACUGCAACAUGAAAAAAAUAAUAGUAAAUGAUCAACCCCAUUUGUGCCUGUUUGCCAUCAAAAAAAUAGAAAUAGGAACUGAAAUUGAUUACAACUAUGGUGAUUCUAAAUGGCCAUGGCGUGAAAAAGCUCCUACUGCUGUAGCUGAGCCAGCCAGAACCUCGUGGGACUCUUUCCCUGAUGACAGCA